rnacentral:rRNA from 1 species
UACAGAGGUCUCAAGCGUUGUUCGGAUUCAUUGGGCGUAAAGGGUGCGUAGGCGGCGCGGUAAGUCGGGUGUGAAAUCUUGGAGCUUAACUCCGAAACUGCAUUCGAUACUGCCGUGCUUGAGGACUGGAGAGGAGACUGGAAUUUACGGUGUAGCGGUGAAAUGCGUAGAUAUCGUAAGGAAGACCAGUGGCGAAGGCGGGUCUCUGGGCAGUUCCUGACGCUGAGGCACGAAGGCCAGGGGAGCAAACGGG